rnacentral:lncRNA from 1 species
GCCAUACGGUGGAGAGUUUAAGGGUGCGUAUAUCCAUAUAUUUGACAUGUGGAGCUGUGUGGGGAAAUGGCACAGGAUAGAGAUACUUCUUGACCGCCACUUAUUCACUGUAGAGCAUUGGGUCACCGAAGUCUUACAAGUGGAAGAGAAUGGAAAAGAAAAAUGCAAAUGUGUUCAGUAUUAUUCUACAACUCAAAUCAUAAAAGAGAUGAACUGCUUAUACUGGAUUAAAGGAUCAGAGAACAGAUAUAACUUGUCUCAAGAAGGUGAGCAGAAGAGAACUACAGCUGGACCAGAAAAAUGAGAGAUCAAAUGGAAUCCCCAUUGCUCUGCUGUUGCAUCAAUUAAGGACUCAGAGAAUCUGAACCCCAAGAUAGCAUGAUGUGAUUCCGUUUGACACAGGACAGAAUAAUCCGUCCUCAUGAGUCAGACCCGUGGGAGAGAAUCUGCAUUGGGUUUGACGACUCCUCUGGAAUUUCUGCCAAGCAGCAUCUUAUACUAAACAGAUAUAUAAUUAUAUGGAUGACUAAUUCAUUUCUGCAGACAUCUUACACGUCAUAUUUAAUGGAGUUAUCUAUUUACUUGUUUGUUUCCACCACUGGGACUGUGCCCUUGAGGACAGGGACUGUGUCAUCUUCCUCCUUUCAAUCUCUAUAGUGUAAUACAAUGCCUGAAAUGUUAAGUACCCAAUAAAGGGUUUUUGAUGCUGAGUGAGUAGCUGAUG